rnacentral:misc_RNA from 1 species
CUAAACGGUCAUCGCCAUUGCUGUCACUGAACUUGUCACACUCAGUAUUCAUCACUUGUCUACGUUGUAUUGGGAUCAUGUCUACCUACGCUAAUAUGAACCAGUACGAUAAAGCUCGCCUAGGCCCAAGGUAGACGGUAAUGGAAGCCUCGGACUGUUGGAGACAAAGUUCCUGUAUUCCAAGGGUGGAUCCAGCAUUUUUUAGAG